rnacentral:rRNA from 1 species
CCUACGGGAGGCAGCAGUGGGGGAUAUUGGGCAAUGGGCGCAAGCCUGACCCAGCGACGCCGCGUGAGGGAAGAAGGCUUUCGGGUUGUAAACUUCUAUCAGGAGGGAAGAGCAGAAGACGGUACCUCUUGAAUAAGCCACGGCUAACUACGUGCCAGAAGCCGCGGUAAUACGUAGGUGGCAAGCGUUGUCCGGAUUUACUGGGUGUAAAGGGCGUGCAGCCGGGAAGACAAGUCAGAUGUGAAAUCCGGCGGCUCAACCGCGGAACUGCAUUGGAAACUGUGUGUCUUGAGUACCGGAGAGGUGAUCGGAAUUCCUAGUGUAGCGGUGAAAUGCGUAGAUAUAAGGAAGAACACCAGUGGCGAAGGCGGAUGACUGGACGGCAACUGACGGUGAGGCGCGAAAGCGUGGGGAGCAAACAGGAUUAGAUACCCGUGUAGUC